UGCAAUGUAUUUUAUUUAAAAUAUUUACUUUACACGUAAAAGAACCUGGGUAGAGGCUUUGUUA
rnacentral:tRNA from 1 species